rnacentral:rRNA from 1 species
AUGAUGAAUGUUGAAGCAAUGGGCAUUAUUGGAAACAAGUUGCCUCCUGAUGUCAAGAUUUGCCAGAGUGUAUCUUCCAUUGAAACCACUGUUGCAAAACCGGGACUUGCCAGAGCAUGUCUUUCGCUGAAACUAGUAGCUUCAAAGUCCCCUUCUACCACUAAAUUAGGUUUGAUUUUCAUGAGCACAUGCUACCAUUUACAAUAUGAAUUUUCAUUCUGUACCAUGAGAAAAAUAAGUCAUACUGUCCAAGCAUGCAGAGUCGUUGUCGCUGGGCUUAACCUGCUCCAUGCUAUAUGCUAUACUUAA